AGAUCUGUACCUCAGUGGUAGAGCAUCUGCUUUGCAUGCAGAAGGUCCCAUGUUCAGUUCCCAGUAGCAGAUCCA